AUGAGCGUUGUGGUGAGCAAGUCCUCGCCGGUGGUCUUGUACCCCGCCGAACCUCAGGCGCCGGCCGGCGACGUCCAACUCUCCUCUUUCGACCAACGCAUCCCGCCUUUCGCGUGCACAUUGCUCCUCAUGUUCGACCAUCCGAUCGACAAUCCCAUCGAGACCAUCAAGCGGGCGCUGUCGCGAGCGCUCGUCCCCUACCGCCCUGUGUGCGGCCGCCUCGCCGGAGCCGAUCACAGCAUCGUGUGCACCGACGAGGGCGUGCCGUUCGUGGGGGCGUCCGCCAGCUGCGCCCUGGAUCUGGAAAAGGUCACUCCUGCGCUGCUCGCGGAUCUCGCCGUCGCCUACGCUGGUCCUUUUUGCCGGCGCGCCGACCCGCUGCUGCAGAUGCAGGCCACGGAGUUCUCCUGCGGCGGCUUCGUCGUCGGGGUCACGUCGAACCAUGUCCUGGCCGACGGCAUCGGGAUUGGGCAGUUCCUGCAGGCCGUCGGCGAGCUCGCCCGCGGGAUGCCGCAGCCGUCCGUCAUCCCGGUCAGGUCGGCCGCCGCGAUCCGGGAUCUCCCUCCGCCCACGGCCACGGCGGAGGAGAGGCGCUCCUUGAUGAAGCCCAAGGAGAAGGAGGGCCAGGGCGCCUUUCUCGACAUUAUCGUCCCGUCGAGCCUCAUCGGCCGCGUCAAGGCCAAGUGCGCCUGCACGCUGUUCGAAGCCGUCACGGCGGUGCUGUGGCGGUGCCGGACACGCGCGGCCAUCCAAGACCCGGAGGCCCCCGCGCCGCUCGUCUUCCCAAACAACGCGCGCGAGCUCUUCGGAGCGCACGACGGCUACUACGGCAACUGCACCAUCAUGAAGUCGGUGCGAGCGACGCGCGCCCAGGUGGCCGACGGCGACAUCAGGGACGUGGUGCGGCACAUCAGGCGCGGCAAGGAGACUCUGCUCCAGGCCGAGGCCGAGGGCGGCGGCGCGGAGACCGGGGGAGACUUGUACAACAGGCUGGCCGUGUCGAGCUGGCGGCGCAUCGGGUUCGACGCGGCCGACUUCGGCGGCGGGACGCCGGCGCGGGUGAUGUGGCACGAGGAUCGGAUGGUGGUGCCGGAGUGCAUCGUGUGCCCGCCGUGGAAGGGCAAGGACGGGGUCAACGUGCAGUCGCUCUGCGUCAGGCCGGAGCACGCCGCCGCCUUCCUGGCCGAGCUCGCCGCAAUGUGA
rnacentral:rRNA from 1 species